UUACGGCCAUAUAGCGUUCAAACAUAGGUUCCCAUACGAACACAAAAGUUAAGCAACGUUAAGCCUGGUUAGUACCUAGAUGGGUGAUCACUUGGGAAUACCAAGUACUGUAA